rfam:Pseudomonas sp. Lz4W Contig05, whole genome shotgun sequence.
GAAGUUGUCAUCUUCUGCAGACAACAAGGCAUUGAUGAAAUUGGGUGGAAUGUCGGCGAACUUGAUCGGGGAGCGGCGCAUUUCGCCGAACUCUGCGAUUAAUUUGCCGUCGCUGGUGAAGACCCGCAAAGGAAUCUGCAACUGGAUGCUUCUCAACGACUCUACGGACGGCAAGCCAGGACUAAGAUAGAGAAACGCGCCGCUCAGCACGAGCAGGAGCCCGCAGAACACAGCAACGAAAGACCACCCGAAAAACUUCAGCAGACGAAUCAAGGCUUUUGGAUUUCCAGAUUG